GGAACUCGUAAAUUAGUUUGACUGAAUCAUCGCAUAAUUUAUAUACUCAUGUGCCACGUUUUAAUUUAAAUAACAGCUGAAGUUGUUAAAAUUUCUUUUAAUAUUGAAUUAUGACUACAAACUCUUUUAGUUUGCAGUCACAAUAUAUGUAUGAAAGCUAAUUGCUGUGCAAUUAUGGUCGAUUAUGCUUGUAGCCUGUUUGAAUGUAUAGAUAUGUUUUAUUUGUUUUAAUAAUUCACCCACUGUCACACUAAAUACCUUUGAUUAACAAAAAAUGCACAUGAGAAUCAAGUUUAAGAUGAAUUUAAUUUUCAAUCGAAAUUAUUCGUGUUUCACAAUGAAUAUGUAAAAAGAAAAUAUAAAUCCACUCGUCUGAAUAAUCAUAUGUACAUAUAUAAAAUCUAUGACAAGAUCAACGGCGAUCAGACUGCGAUCCAAUUUAAGUAUAGUUGCGGUAGCGAAGUGGACCGGGUGAUGACGACGGGGCGCAGUAUGUCAGCGAAAGUUUGUAGCGAAUUUUAAUGUGCGAAUGUUGAUGUGCGGCUUGUGAAGAUCGAAUGGUCCGCUUUCCCUUUUGCCCAUCCUUUUUGUUGAGUGGAUUGAUUGAUGUGGAAGUUUGGUGAGUUGUGUUGAGUUGUAUUGUAUUAGUGUGGAGACCGCUUGCUGGGUGAUGUUCUCAAUUGCGGUGUGAUAUAUAGCGGGAUUCUGUAACCAGUCUCUAGUCUCUAUUUGAGACAUUUUGAGGUAAAGUCUCAAUUUGAGACUAGUUACUAUUCACAAUACAGUCUCAGUCUCUAGUCUCAAAACAUAGCCUUAAAUUAUGUCAGCUGGUAAUAAGCAGGUCACAAACGUAUUAAGAUAAUAGAAAAUAAGCAAUGGACGAAGAAGUUAAUUUUACAAACUUAUAAAAAUUAAGAAAGGUAAGUAUUGUUUAAUAGCAAUGAAUAUAAAAAUAUUAAUAAUUUCUUUCAAUUAGAAUUGCAAACAGGAGGAAUUUGGCGCACUUAAGGAAUAGUGAGGAUCCAUUUUUAUUGGAGGAAGGAAUAUUUAGAUAAUAUUUUCGUUUUCCGAAAUCAUUGUGUUGGGACCUUAUGCAGGAUUUGAAACCUCACGAUAAUCGCUUCCGAAAGUCUGCUAUUCCUUUUGAGAUUCGGUUCGUUUCAGUGCUAUAUUUCUUUUCAUUCAAAUAGCCAUUUAUCUGCCAUGAGCCAACAUAGCAUAUCCCGAAUUAUAAGGCAUAUAUGCAAACUUGUGUUGGAACACAAAAAUGUGGAAAUAAGCUUCCCAAAUGCAACAGAGCACUACAACACAAUUAAAAUGGGUGCUAUUGACUGCACCCAUGUUGCUAUAAUUGGACCAUCUUCGUCGUCUAACGUUAUUCCACAUGAAUACCUGAACCGAAAUGGUUACUACAGUAUUAACGUAGAAGCGCUAGGUUAAAAUAUUAAUUUAAUUUAAAUAAUAUAUGUAUAUAUGAAUUUUAGAUUUGUGACGACAAACUUAUUUUUCGCAAUUUAAAUGCUCGUUUUCCUAGCUCAUGCCAUGACUCCGGAAUUUGGAGAACAUCACCGGCCAGAAUAAAAUUAUUAAGGGAACAUGUUUCUAGUUCAUUUAAGUAGUUUCUAGGUGACUCAGGAUAUCCACUAGAGCCAUGGCUUUUGACUCCUAUAUCAAACCCAUCUGCACCAAAUGAAGUUCUUUAUAACAUAAUCCAUAUAAAGGCCAGAAACAUAAUUGAAAGGGCCUUUGGUGUUUUAAAGUCUCGUUUCCGUUGCUUAUCUAAAGAGCGAGUACUGAGGUAUACACCCUCAAACGCCGCGUUCUCAGUUUAUACUUGCUCAAUUUUCCACAACAUUUUGCAAAAACAUGGUAUUUGUGACUUCGAUGAAAUCGACAUUGAAAACUUUGAAGACUCUUCCUUGAAUGAUAAUUCUCCAGCUCAAACAAAUCAGUAUUACAAUGCAGGAAUAAAUGCACGACGUAACUGCUUAAAUUCUCUCACACAAUCUUUGUAAAUAAAUACCUUUAAAAAUAAAUCUUUUAUUUAUAUUUUCACAAAAAAUUAAUAAAUUCGUUUAUUCAGUCUAUGUAUGUACAUAAUAAUCAUUAAUAGGAACAUAAAAAUAAUUUAACUUAUUCAGUCUUUUUUUAUAUGUAUGUACAUUAUAUACAUUAAUAGGAACUUAAAAAUAUCUUCUUAACUCAAACAAUUUUUUUUUAUAACAGCUUCUGAUAGCUUUAAAAUAGCACUUGCCAUAUUAUUCAAAGAGUCCGCAACAUUUUGGAAGCAUUGUUGUGAUGUCUCUCUAAAUUUCGCCUCUCUUCGCUCCUCUUCUUCAUUGUAGCAAUCAUGUCAGCAAACAUUUCUUGAGAAGUCUGCCUUCGAGAUCGUGAAGUUGAUGGCAUCUCACUUAC